rnacentral:rRNA from 1 species
GUUCGGAUUGUAGUCUGCAACCCGACUACAUGAAGCUGGAAUCGCUAGUAAUCGCGGAUCAGAAUGCCGCGGUGAAUACGUUCCCGGGUCUUGUACACACCGCCCGUCACACCAUGGGAGUCGGAAAUGCCCGAAGUCUGUGACCUAACCGUAAGGAAGGAGCAGCCGGAGGCAGGUCGGAUGACUGGGGUGAAGUCGUAACAAGGUAUC